AUUGAACGCUGGCGGCAGGCCUAACACAUGCAAGUCGAGCGGAUGAAGAGAGCUUGCUCUCUGAUUUAGCGGCGGACGGGUGAGUAACGCCUAGGAAUCUGCCUGGUAGUGGGGGAUAACGUUCCGAAAGGAACGCUAAUACCGCGUACGUCCUACGGGAGAAAGCAGGGGACCUUCGGGCCUUGCGCUAUCAGAUGAGCCUAGGUCGGAUUAGCUAGUUGGUGAGGUAAUGGCUCACCAAGGCGACGAUCCGUAACUGGUCGGAGAGGAUGAUCAGUCACACUGGAACUGAGACACGGUCCAGACUCCUACGGGAGGCAGCAGUGGGGAAUAUUGGACAAUGGGCGAAAGCCUGAUCCAGCCAUGCCGCGUGUGUGAAGAAGGUCUUCGGAUUGUAAAGCACUUUAAGUUGGGAGGAAGGGCAGUAAGUUAAUACCUUGCUGUUUUGACGUUACCGACAGAAUAAGCACCGGCUAACUUCGUGCCAGCCGCCGCGGUAAAAC
rnacentral:rRNA from 1 species